UAGUAUCAGAAGAGGAAGAGACGGCUAACUCUGUGCCAGCAGCCGCGGUAAUACAGAGGUCUCAAGCGUUGUUCGGAUUCAUUGGGCGUAAAGGGUGCGUAGGUGGCGGGGUAAGUCAGGUGUGAAAUUUCGGAGCUUAACUCCGAAACUGCAUUUGAUACUGCCUUGCUUGAGGACUGGAGAGGAGACUGGAAUUCACGGUGUAGCAGUGAAAUGCGUAGAGAUCGUGAGGAAGACCAGUGGCGAAGGCGGGUCUCUGGACAGUUCCUGACACUGAGGCACGAAGGCCAGGGGAGCAAACGGGAUUAGAUACCCCGGUAGUCCUGGCAGUAAACGGUGCACGUUUGGUGUGGGGGGAUUCGACCCCUUCCGCGCCGGAGCUAACGCGUUAAACGUGCCGCCUGGGGAGUACGGUCGCAAGAUUAAAACUCAAAGAAAUUGACGGGGGCCCGCACAAGCGGUGGAGUAUGUGGCUUAAUUCGAUGCAACGCGAAGAACCUUACCAGGCCUUGACAUGCAUUUCUAAGUUGGUGAAAGCCAGCGAAUGUCGAAAGACAUAACUUGCACAGGUGCUGCAUGGCUGUCGUCAGCUCGUG
rnacentral:rRNA from 1 species